rnacentral:lncRNA from 1 species
CACCAGGGUCGGUCCCUACUGGCCCCCAGCCUUGCCCUGGCCACGGGCCUUUGGUUGAUGGUUCUGUCUCCAAAGAGCUCCAUCCAGGUGUAAUGCCUGGUUUUGACUUCCUUUGCCCUGCCUUGUCCUCAUGGGCUGCCUUGUGUUUUGGAGGAUUGGCUGAACCAGCUGCUGUCCUUGGACCUUUCCUGCUCCUUGCUCAGACAGCUCUCUCUUGGAAGGAAGAUUAUAUGGCACAUCCUGUGCUGGGCCAAGUCCCUGAGAAUUGGACUGCCCUACUCAAAAGCAUAAACAAGCCUCAGCCUAUCAACAACAUAAAUGGGACACCAGCCUGCCAAAUACAGGGAAAUGAAUAAAUGGAAGAACAAUAAAAGUCAGUAAAGUAGGAAAUCUCA